rnacentral:lncRNA from 1 species
AUUUGCUUUUAUGAGACUGCAGGCCUACUUUAUUUGUAAUCCAAAGAUCUGGUAUCCUAGCCAAGCUUUCAUAGAUUGAAACUAAGUGAUUUUUGUUGGCAUGUCAUCCAUAUUCAAAUUGGUGUAUUCACGAGAAGUUUUUUGCCCACACCCUUUCUAGAUUGGAACCUACAAUGAUGACACAGAGAAGAAACUUUCAUACUACCUAAGCCAACACCUCAAUCGGUCCUUAGGACCAAUUAUGAACACCUAGAAAUCAAACUCUCUAACCAGUAAAAUUAGUUUUUGAGAGAUGUUUUUUACCAAAAUGUAGAUAAGUGAGGCAAUAAUAAUAGUCCUGCAUCUUCCAAGAAAAGAAUCAGCAACAAAUGCACCGAACAAGGGCAGAAACGACGCUGUGCCUGACCAUACGUUCACAUUCUUAGCCGCAGUAAUGGUUGAUUGACCCAACGGCCCAGUUAAAUACAUUAUUAAGUUGGAAGAGAUUCCAUAAAAAGCAAACCUCUCUGCCACCUCCACACCUGCACUUGUACACCAAACAAGCUAGUUAAAACACAAAAUAAUGGCUUCGGCUGGAUUAAAUAUAGAAAAAGAAACAGCUGUGUUACCUAUAAUGAAAGAUGCAGACCUCCAUCCACCAGAGUUGUAUCUACAAACUGGGUUGCCCUUAUAAUCAACGCAGUCAUCAACAGUGUCGUUUAGGAGUGGAGUUCGGACCUCUUGUGUCUCUGAACUGGAGAGGUUAGAAAUGGACAUCGCAGUUUACUACAGCUACUGAUUACUAGUUAAAAUGACCAGCAAUCACAAUCUUGUUCCAAUUAUGCUAACAUAUGGAGGAUAACAUUUAUAAAGAAUUGCCGUCUUGCUCAGCAAAAUAAUGUUUUGCUUUAUUUGUUAGCUGGAUUGUCAGCCUCUCUUAUUUAUAUAAUAUUAUUACAGGGAAUCAAUCCUUUGUGCUUGGUGUUCAUGAUUGCAGUUCUCCGCCUACUUCUCGGCCGUGUUGCAGGUGCAAUAUAAAAUAAACGAGAAUACCUUUUUUUUAUGUUAAUUGUAUUUAUAUCACCUUCUACUAUUUUAUAAAAUAUUAAUUUACUUUUAAGGGCUCACCUACAACAUAUACUGAGAUGACAUGUUCACACAUUGUCAUCGUGAGUUUAUAAAAAAAUACACCUGAUAGUAUUAUAAUUGUAAAUCAGUAUUAGAUAAAUAAUAAAAACUAAAUGUAUGAUGGAGUAAAUAUUUUAUAACAGAAAAAAAAGUUGUGUUGGUGAUCAAAAACUUAGAAACUAAACAAAAUGAUUUGUAGCAAUCCACAGUGUUUUGUGAGAAAAGAUACAGUGUUUUCACCACAUGAUUUAGUUUUUCUGUAAAUAAAAAGCAAAAAAAAUUACAAAGCUAAAUUCUCUACCAACUUAAUAUUAAAAAAAAAAAACCAACAAGAUAAUUUUGGAAGGAAAAAAAAAACUCAUGAGAAAAAACGUUGUAGCAAUUAACAACGUUUUGUGAGGAAAACUACAGUAUUAUCCCCAAUAAAAUAAAAUAAAAAAACCAUUUAGAGAAAUACUGUAGCAAUCCACAUUGUUUUGUAAGAAAAACUACAACGCUUUUCUCAUAUGAUUUAGCUUUAUCAUAAUUAUAAUUCUUCACCAACUCAAAUUCAAAAAAUAAAUUGACAAAGAUAAUUUUAGAAAAAAUCAUAAACAAAUCAUAUGGGAAAACACUGCAACAAUUCACAGUGUUUUAAAGAAAAAAAUUACAAAGUUAAAUUCUUAAUCAGCUCAAUAUUAAAAAAAAUCGACAGAUAUAAUUUUAGAAAAAAAAAUAACAAAAAAAAAACACAAACAAAAAAGGGGGGAAAUCAUGUUGGAAACACUAUAGCAAUUCAUAGUGUUUUAUGAUGAAAGCUACAGUGCUUCCCCACGUGAUUUAGCCUUAUUUGUAAUGACUUGUAAUUGUAAUUUCAAAAUAGGUCAAUAUUAAAAAAAUAAAAUUGACAAAGAUAAUUUUAAAAAAAUUAUAAGAAAAAAAAUAUGGAGAGACACUGUAGCAAUCCACAAUGUUUUGUGAGGAAAGCUACAGUGUUUUCCCCACAUGAUUAAGCUUUAUUAGAAAGUUAAAUUCUAAACAACUCAAUAUUAAAAAAAAAAUCGACGAAGAUAAUUUUGGAAAAAAAUAUUACAAAAAAAAGAAAACACAAAAGAAACUGAAAAAAAACCAUGUGAUGAAAAACUGUAUCAAUCCAUAGUGUUUUGUGAGGAAAAACUUGUAUUUACUUGUAAUUGCAAUUCUUAACCAGCUUAAUAUUUAAAAAAUAAAAUUGACAAAGAUAAUUUUAGAAAAAAACAUAAUAAAACAGAAAAAAACCAUGUGUUGUAGCAAUCCAAGUAAUUUGCGAGGAAAGUUACAGUGCUUUCCUCACAUAUUGUAACUGUAAUUUUUAACCAGCUCAAUAUUUAAAAAUAAAAUAAAAAAAGAUAAUUUUGGAGAAAAUCAUAAAAAAAAAAAACAAAAAAAACCAUGCGGAGAAAUACUGUAGCAAUCAACAAUGUUUUAAAGAAAAAAAAUUACAAAACUAAAUUCUCAAUCAGCUCAAUAUUAAAAAAAAUCGACAAAUAUAAUUUUGAAAAAUAAAAAAAUAAAAUAGAAAAACUAUGUUGGAAAACACCGCAGAAAUCCACAAUAUUUUAAAGAAAAAAAAUUGCAAAGCAAAAUUUUUAACUAGCUCAAUAUUUAAAAAGUAAAAUCAACAAAAAUAAUUUUGGAAAACAAAAGGAACACAGAGGAAAGUUGAAAAAAAAAAGAAAAGUAAUUUUGGAAAGAAAAAAAAAUGAAAAAGGGGAAAGUUGGAAAAAAAAUGAAAAAAUACAAAAAAAAAAGUAAAAAAAAAAAAGAAAUGCACUGCACCGUGGAUUACAACAGAUUACUGUUGUAAUCCACAAUGCAUUUGGGUGUGGGGAAACAAUGAUUUCCUCACACCAUUUAGUUGUAUGUAUAAUAUCAUAGUACUCUGCCCAUCGUUUUGAAACUCGGCUCGGCCUGGCAGGUCGACUCGGGAUCCAGCUGACCUGGGGCUGGAACCAGGCCGGGUUGCAGAAAAAAUAGGAAAAGUCAUGACUCAGUGUGACCCGGUGACCCGACAAAACCCGGUCAAAAACCCAGUUGCAACCCGUUGACUUUUGUUUUUUUUAACUAAAAUGACGUCGUUUUGAUUUUUUAAAAAAUAGGGAUUGACUCGGGCAACCGGAUGACCCGAUCAAAACCUAGAACACGAGCCUUGGACCGGGCCAGCCACCGGAUCGGGUUUAAAAACAAUGACUCUACCUCCCAUAUUAAUUAUAAUUUUUAUAUAUUUCACCACACUAUUAAAUAUAAAGAUAAAAUGAUUACAUGGUAUACAGAUAGGGUAUAUAGGUCAGGUCAAAUUGACUAGGUUUUAAAAAAUCUUGAUUUAUCACCCGAUUUAUGAAAUUUAUUUUUUAGAUUUUUUUAAUUCAUUAUUAUUUAUAAUAUCUAUAUUAUUUGAUUUUAAUGAAUUGAGUUGGAUUAAAUAAUAUAAAUAUUACGAAAUAACUAGUUUCUUUUAACAUCGUUAUCACCAGAGAGGUUUAAAAAAACCCAAGAAUUUUUAACUAUACAUGCAAGAUUAUGAUGUGAAUUAAUUCGCAACAUAAACAAACAUAAUUAAAAAAUAAUAAUUUCAAACCGAGAAGUAUGGAAGUUGUCGACUUCAUCUGUAGAUGCGAUGCUCCAUCUAAAAAUUUUCGAUUUCAUGUAUAUUCUGAAGAUUUCUAUUUUAAUAAGAGCAAGUCAAAUUCAUUUUGCACUUUGAUUUCAUUAGAUACCUUUCAAUUUCCAGUUUUAAUUCUGUUCGUCCUAUAUCUUAUGAAGAACAAGAAGCUGAUGAAUUUUGAGAAAGCUUCAUUUUCACGAGGGAAAAAUCAUUACAUCAUAAUAAUGCAUUUUUGUGCAAAGAAAAAGUCAUUAAAUCUGCAUUUCCCAAGAUAGCAUAUCAUCCUGGUAAGCAUGUCCCUCCCUCUCUGGCGUGUUGUAGCAUCAUAGUUCAUACAUUUUAAAAAAAACACCAACAAGGUUGAUGAUGCACAACAAUGAACAAGAAAAAUUAAAGCAUGAAAAAAAAAGAAGUUUUUAGAAAAGAAGCUAAGAAUAAAAAGUAAAGAAAGAGAAGAAUGGGAGAUUGGAAAAUAUACGACUUUGCAAUUCUUAUUCAUUCAUCAAAAACUACAUAACAUUUAGAAAAAUAUGAUAUAACUAUUAAAACUCUAACUACAACAAGCGAUUGAACUUAUAGCCCACUAAAUGAAAUGCCCAACAAUAAAUCAAACCCAACAAAUAAAAUAUAAUUAAUAAACUUCAACUAAAAGUUCAUAUAAAUUAAACUAAAACAUAAGCUAAUGUCAAAUCUCUCAAUGGUUUGUGUUAUCUUUCAUUGUCUAUGAUCAUACGCGUGUGUAAACAAUGUUUCGGGUUCGAUGUCCCCACUACUUGACUUUCCUUACAUACAAAAACAAGAAAGUAUCAAUACAAUAAGGAAAAGGAAGCUAUGAUGUUACAGACGCCAAAAGAUCAAAAUCAAUAACAAAAGUGAGAAGAGAGGCAAUGACAAUGGCUAAUGACCGCUAGAAUUUGAAAGAAUCAAAAUACACCGCAUGACCGUUGGAAGAUUUGGGAUUACACAACUACAUUAAACGAAUUGUUUCAUUUAUUCACCCACACGCAUCAUUUUAUUAUGUUUUUCCGGUUAGGAGAGUUAGUUAAGUUGUUUUCCACAUGUCCAUUGAGGCACAAAUCAUGUAAUGUUUGGUAUUUCCUUGGUUUAUAUGUAAUAGAAAUGUCAGAAAGAAAAUGCAUGAAGAAAGAUGAAUUAACUAGUUUUGUCAUCCUAUUUCUUCUCUUUUUCCUCUUUGUUCUAGUCUAAUCUAUAUUGUUCUAUUGUGUUCUUCUCUUCUCAAUUUCUUGAUUUCUAGCUUAAAAUUAUAUUUGCUUAAGCAACAACAUUAUUCUACUGGAUUUCUUCUUAGUUGGGGAUCAUCCCAUUAGACUUACAAUAAGUGGUAUUAGAGCAGUUGAUCCACGACCUAAUACUAUGGCUCUUAAUACUAGAACACAAGAUCUCAAAAAACUAAAAAACUCAUUAGAAGCUGUCAGCAAGGAUCAAACACAAAAUUAUGAACAACUAAUGAAGAUGUUGAAGACUUACAAUCACAAGCUGAAAACUACCAGGACUAACCAUGAAGCAAAGAUCAAUGAACUCGCAAAACUUAUUAGAGGAUUGGCUUAUCAAUUUCUAUAAUUUCUCACUUGUCAACGCACCAAUCUUAUCCAAUAAUAACUGAUUCUAUUGGUCACCCAUUCAUAGGACACCAGUUCCAUUCCAGAACAUUGGACCAACCAUCAGCCCAUUCAAAAGAGCACCAGUUCCAAACUAGAACACUAAUUCAACCAUCAGCCCAAUCUCAGGACACCAAUUCCAAACCAGGACACUGGUCCAAUCAUCAGCCCAUUCACCGGGUGCUAGUCCCAAACCAAGAACUAGUUCAACCAUCAUUCAAACACUACAUAUAAAUGCUAAAAUUUGAACUACAUCUUAUUAGGAGCUAAGCUAAAGAAUUAAAAGAGACUUUAAAUUGGAGAUCUAAGUGUCAGACACCUACCUGAAAUCUUUGCUUUGCUAGCCGUCCCCUGCUCUCGUUUAUUUCCCACAAUCUCACUUGUAUCAAUAGUUACACUAAUUUAAAUUUCGAGUCUUAACCACACAUACGUACUAUUUUCAUUUCCUUCAUAAUUUGACAUUUUAUAAUAAAAAACAAUUCCAAACAGAAGUUAUCAAUUUACAAGUUUUAGGUGGCUCAAUAUAACAGAUACCAAACACUGUUUAGUAGUUUGAGUAUAACCGGAGCUAUAGAACUCGGUUUUAUAUGUGGUUUGUUUUUUGGAACGCUAAAACAUGGUUCUACAACUUUUAUGAAGAUGAAUAUACCUAGUUUUUCCAUCUACAUGCCUAAAUUCACAAAUUUCAAAAACCCAAAAAUUUGUCCUGCUUAUUCCUGGUUUUGGCCUAUCUUCGUUUUUUCUUCCAUAUAUAGUGUUUUGUCACUCCAAUUUAAGCAAGGUCAAUUUCAUUAGAGAGGUAACAUCCAUGUCGACAACUUUCGUGAAGAAAAAUAUCUCAAAUUCUGUCAUCUUAGGGUUCAAAUCUUAGUAGAGAAAUUAAAAGACAAUCUGUCCAGUUUUGAUUUUUAUGUUCAACAAGUAUAAAUUUGUUUCCCAUGCAUUUUUCCAUUAUUUCCAGCUAAACACAAAAUCCUAUCAUUAUUUAACAGACUUCUUAAACAUAUACUAAGGUAUUCUAAAAUCUCAAUUAUUCAAGGAAAACACAAACAAAUUCAAUUGACUUAAUAAGAGAGCUUGUUACCUUCUAUUACAAAGAAAAUAAGUCAAGAGAUUGAGAACAACCGUUUUUCUUCUUACCAUCCCUUCCUUCUUCUAACCCUUCCCUUCCCAGGCUGUAGACACCUGGCGAUGGGGCUGCCAUGCCCUAGGCGCUAAGGCCAAACCCGUGUGCCUGGCUGUAGACCCAGGCGAGCGGGUCUAUAUCCAACACAUGGCAGCCCUAGCGCAUGACUUAAUAUUAUUGUUUGUAUUAUAAAUAUUUUUAUUUUUAUUAUAAUUAAUAUUAUUAAUAUUAAAAAUAUUGUUAUUUUUAUUAUAAUUAAUAUUGUCAAUAUUAAAAAUAUUAUUAUUUGUAUUAUAAAUUUUAUUAUUUUUAUUACAAUUAAUAUCAUAAAUAUUAUUAAAUCCGUUAAUAUUAUUAAAUUUUAAAAAAAAUAUUAUUAUAAAAAAACAUAGAUUUGAUUUGAAGGGCAAAAUCAAUUAUUAUUAUUAUUAUUAUUAUUAUUAUUAUUAUUAUUAACUUGGGUCUGACAUGCCCUUCUAGACUUAAGUUUUUUGAGGCUGGAAAGGUGCGUCUAAUCCAAGUUACUUGAGAGUGGCAUGAGCGCAAACCCAAGUUCCUUGGGUCUUGCAGCCUCACUUGGCCCAAGACACUUGGACAGGUGUUCAAACCCAAAGCUAUUGGGUCCAGUGUCCGAACCCAAGGCUCUUAGGUCCUAUGUCCUGAUCCAAGUCUAAUGGGUCCAGAUUGUAGCCAGACUCAAGACUCUUGAAUCUGUCGUUUAUGAGGGGCUCAAAGCUCUUGGAUCUGGUGUUGCAGACAGACCCACUUAAACUUGGUUAAGUUUAAUAUUAUUAUUAAUAUAAUAAUUAAUAAUUUUGAAAAAAAAUAAUAUUGAAAAACAACUAUAGAUUUGAUUUGAAGGAUAAACUUAAAAAUUAUUAUUAUUAUUAUUAUUAUUAUUAUUAUUAUUAUUAUUAUUAUUAUUAUUAUUUUAUUUGAAAAAAAAUAUUAUUACUAGGGAAGAAAAACCAUAAUUUUUUUAAUAGAUUAAAAAUAUAUGAACUUGAGCUAGAUAAGUUAUAUAUUAUUAUUAAUAUUAUAAAUAUUAUUAUUGGUUCUGAUUUGGCUCUUUGAUCUUUUUUUAUAGACAAACCCAACACUUUUAAAUCUUAGUUUUUUUAAUGUUUUUUAUGGAAAAAAGUUGGCUCGGGGCACCUAACUAGUCUUCAAGCUAAACCAAAUCAGAAAUGGCUCCUCAGCUCAAAAAAAUCUUCAAAACCUCACUAUAUUUUGCUGUCCAAUUUGUUAGAAAUAUUUGAAGCAGUAAAGUAAAAAUGGAAACAUGGAAAGAUACUUUGAAUUUCAUUCAUAUUACAUCACUCUUCUAAAAAACAAAUCCCUAUAGACUUGGAUUUAAACUUACAAUACUCCGCACAUAUAUUUAUACUAAUCUAAAAUAAUUCAAGAGACUUAAAAAAUAAAUAUAUCUAUAAUAAUUAUAUACAUAUACACCUAAAAAAUAAAAGAUACUUUGAAUAAAAAUUUCAAAAUUAAUUUGUGUUGAGACUCCUCUUCAAAACCUCACUAUAAUUAAUUUGUUCAAAGCAACUACCAUUAUCUUCACCAGUGUGGAGAGGAGCAUUAACAAAAUCUUGGCAUGACUUGUGAAAAGAAAGCGACAAUCUUUUGGGAUGUCAAUAUUUUCUUGCAAGUUUCAGAGAAUAUCAGAAAAAUCAUUGAAAGAAAGCAAGUACGAUGAAAAUUCUAAAUCACAUGAUAGAAUUCUGGUCAUUGGUCAGAUAGGAAUUUGUACAAGAAGCAAGCCAAACGAAAAUCUAGCAUUAAAGAUAACAUGUAGCAAAUGCCAAGCUAUCUUGAUGUUAAACCUUUGAAGAUGUUAAUCUCGAAAGCAACAUAUUCCUUUGGCACAGACAAAAUCAAAGAAACAGACUGGUUUUCUCUAUUUCUUGAUGAAACAAACUAACAAGAUUCACCUCUUCCAUCUUUCUGUGUAUUCCAGCAGGAUCCAAAGCAAAUGCAGCACAUUCUGUCUUCAAGAUCGGACAUCAUCUUCCCCGGCUUCGCAUCACGCAGCACAUUUUCUUGACACACAUAAUGCAACUUAUUAACAUUGGACAAGGCUGCAUAACCGGUUGAGCUCAAAUCCGACACCUGCUGAAUUUAAACUGCGUCAACUUAUGAGCUCAUGAGCAUGCAAAUAUCACAACUCAAAAGCUCAGGAUGUCAGCAAGCUGAGAACAACAUAUAUAGGCAACUAAAAUACAAAAACCAGACAAUCAGUCACCAUAUAAAAUACACAUUUAGAAAAUUGUUGCCAAUUACAAAUUUACUGAGACCAUUUACAUUUCAAACAAAAAUGGAUAACCAAAUAUUUUGACCAAUUACAGCAGUGGCAGACUAGCAGCAAACGAGGAUGUUGUGUUCCUUGUAUAUGCCACUCCUCUCCCCACAAGCUACAUGCUUGCAACAAUUGUAAUUGCAGAGAGAUGGUAAUAAGAAAAACAUUGCCUUAGAUUCUCUCAUCCCUACUAUAAAUGUAAAAUCUUGUAUAAUACAUGUACAUAAUCAAUUCCACCACACUUAGCGCAGCAAGUAUCCAAUAAAAAUAAUCAAGAUGAGCCCGGUUCAAAUUAUUGUUGAACCAGCUAUAACAGCCAAUGCCACCAGUCGCUUUCUCAAUCACAGAGAUGAGAAAGCUGCUAAGAAAUUUUCCUACACCAAAGAUACUGAGGUAUAGUGAAAGACCAACACUCUUUAAAUCACUAGGGACCUGAUCAUAGAAAAUUUCUUGCAGACCAACCAUGGUGAAGACAUCAGCAACUCCGAACAAGACAUAUGAAGGAACUAACCACCAAACACUCAUUGGAACAGUCACAUUUGGUUCAUUGACUAGACCAGAUUCUUGAGCGAUUUCGAGCCUUUUCAUCUCAACUAGAGCAGCAAAUGCUAUCGAAACAGCAGAUAAAAACAUCCCAGUUCCAAUUCUCUGAAGCAUUGAAAUGCCAGAUGGUUUCCUUGUUAAAGCUCUUGCAACAGGAACAAAGAGACGGUCAUAGAUAGCAAUACAGAGGAUCAUGGAAAUGCUGCUAAAGCUUUCAAGUGAAGCUGCUGGUAUCUCGAAACCUGGUGAAAUUGAUCUAUCCAUGGUUGCUGCUUGCUUGACAAAGAAAGUUGAGGACUGUGGAAACACAAUUGCAUAUCCCAAGCAUGUAGUCCAUAUUGGAAUAAGCCUGAGUACUGCCUUGGCUUCUUCAACAUCACGAAAGGUACAAACCUUCUGAUCUUCUUUUGAGCCAUCUGUUGUAAGCAGCGCAUUGUUUAGGAACCUGGAAUCAAUUUUUAUCUUAGAGAAGCUUGAUAUGGUAAAGCAAAAGGUCUUUUGAGUAAAACUUCACUGAUUCAAGACCACAGAGAGCAGAAGUAAUCUCCCACUUGAUAAAAUAUCAUAGAGCAUCAAUACUUAAUCUAUAUGGUGACAUGAAAUCACUCCCUUCUGUACCGUAAUCAGUGUUACAAUCUCCACUGGUUGAUGCAAAUCAACAAGCACACUAAGACAAUACAGCAUCUUAGACCCAUAUCAACAAAUAAUUAAGUGUAUCUCCUAACAAAAUCUAAAUUUGAUAUCAUCAAACAAUUGCCAAGGAUAACAAACAGCCGUUUAAUGAUGCUAAUAGCACAUAAAUCAGAGACAUUUCAGAGGUGAUUAACUGUUCUGUGGAAAGUAUUAAAAGUGCAAGGCGCACUUAAGCACCACGGCUAUUAGAGGCUAGGCUGCAGGAUCUCCACCUACUACAAUGCACUUUGGAUCCCCAAAAUGAAUCACGGUGAUAUUACUAGUUUUCCAUACGAAGGGUUAAAUAGAAUAUCAGAGCUCAGAUUGCUAUCACAAUACGAUAUCAUGGACUUUGCAUUUGAUCCUAACUGGUUAAAGCUCACAAAAUAAAGUAUUUUCAAUCAAUGUCUUACUUAAAAAUUCCCAUCUAAUGAAAAUCUUCAGGUCAACUAGAAGCAAUUUGUGUUUAAUUUUUAACCUCAAAGACACGAUAAAUUCUCUUACUUGAACUGCUCAUAACUUUGGUGAGGUACAGUUCCACGACCUUCUUCCUCAGAAGCUAUUGAGGAAGGAGUAAAUCGCCAAUUCCUGAAAGCUGCCACAAAGACCCGAGUAAUUCUCAAAAGUGCGUUGUUCCCUUCCCUUUUAACACUGUACCGAUAUUUCUUUGAUCCCAGUAAGAAGAUGAUCAGUGCACAGAUCAUCAUAAUGCAUGGGAUUCCAAAUCCAAGACUCCAACUAAGAUUGUCUUGAAUGUAUGUUAAAACCAGUAGUGAUACUAAGAUGCCUGAACUCAUAAAAAAAUACCACCAAUUGAAGAAUGAGCUUUUGGAUUUGUACUCUUUGGUGUCUUGUCUAUCAAAUUGAUCCGCUCCAAAAGCCUGGACACAAGGCUUGUGCCCACCUUGGCCAAGUGCUACUAGAUAGAGAGCAAUAAAUAAUAAAAUCACUUGCAGUGUAUUAGAAGAACAGGACAUACUGUCACUUUGACAGUCAGAUGUAGGAAGCAUAGCUGAUAGAGUCAACAAGCCAAGUCCCUACAAUUAAAUUCAAAACAUGACAGAAACUUUAAAGCCAAAGCUGAACAGCAUAAGUUUAUUAAUUUCCAGGAAUCAUGAACAAAUUGUUUACCCACUCCUCAAGAACAGAAAAGAAAGGAUAAGUAUGUAGUAUCUUGUGUCUUAAAGACAUUACACAAUCAUGCUGACUAUUUAAUAGGGUAGGUUUAAAAUCCUUAAUUUAUGUCCAGCCAAUCCAAAUAGAGAUCAAGAAAACAAACCUAAAGGAAGAUGUUAUCAACCUGUGAACUCAGGUUUGGUUUCAAUGAAAGAAACUGCAACCAAUACGAAGUAUAGCAGGCAAUUACUGAACUUUGGCCACAACUAUCUCAAUUCCUCCCGAAUAGACUAUAGUUCAGUUGAUUCUUGCAAAGAUUAAGCUUUGAGAACUGUUUUCAAUUUCCAAAUACCUUGGUACUUGAAAUAAACCCAAGAUAGUUAAAAGGGUCAGGUGAUCAAGAAAUUUGCAGGAAGGAGUGCUGUUUCGCCAAUGCACAACUUUGUUUAAGCUGUCAAUUCUUUACUACAUGUGUGCGUGUGUGUCAUCCAUAGUUUACUAAAAUGAUGGGACUCGAAGCCAAUGUAGAUGGCGACUGUCAUCUCAAUUCUCGAGGAUCUCAAUUCUCGAGGACUAGAAUAUUUACUUGAGUUACUCAACAAUCAUAGAUGAAUAUUUUCCUUUUAGAAAACUCAGCUAAAUCUAAGAAAAAUAGCUGAGCAGAUACAUCAGCUAACUUAGGUUGAUGAUACUCAAAAAAUAAAAUAAAAUAAUAAAUAAAAAUCAGAACUUUUUUAUUUGCUUUUAUGAGACUGCAGGCCUACUUUAUUUGUAAUCCAAAGAUCUGGUAUCCUAGCCAAGCUUUCAUAGAUUGAAACUAAGUGAUUUUUGUUGGCAUGUCAUCCAUAUUCAAAUUGGUGUAUUCACGAGAAGUUUUUUUCCCACACCCUUUCUAGAUUGGAACCUACAACGAUGACACAGAGAACAAACUUUCAUACUACUUCAUACUA